rnacentral:rRNA from 1 species
UACGUAGGGUGCAAGCGUUGUCCGGAAUUAUUGGGCGUAAAGAGCUCGUAGGCGGUUUGUCGCGUCUGCUGUGAAAACCCGAGGCUCAACCUCGGGCCUGCAGUGGGUACGGGCAGACUAGAGUCCGGCAGGGGAGACUGGAAUUCCUGGUGUAGCGGUGAAAUGCGCAGAUAUCAGGAGGAACACCGGUGGCGAAGGCGGGUCUCUGGGCCGGAACUGACGCUGAGGAGCGAAAGCUAGGGGAGCAAACAGG